GAUCUGGACGGCCAGCACUCUUCGGUUUUGCCGGUGCUGGACGCAGAAGCAAUAGAAGCGCCACGGCAAGAAGUCGCCCCUCGCGGCGGUGGGGGGAGCCCAACAAGGUGGUGGUGAGCGGUAUCUGCGGGAUUGUCUGCUACACCACCGAAUAAGCAAAUACUGCACCUCUUCAAGGACAUCGGGCCCAUCCGCCAGCUCCAGUUCUCACGAUUCCCCGACUCCGUCCACUACCGCGGCCUCGCGUUCCUCACGUUCCAGGUCCAACCAGCACUUUGCUUCCUCUCUCUCCCAAGAUCUUUCUUAAUCUUGAGAAAUUGCACCCACCCAUGAAGGGGGCAUGUUAAAAUUUUGUUGGGUAAAAUUAAAUUGCCCCGAUUUUUCUGUCGAAUGAGAACCAAACAAAUCAAAAAUACUAUACGAAUAUUAAGAAGAGAAGAAAGAAACUUUUGUUGUAAAAUUUCCACACUACAACAGAAGCAUAGAUAUUCCCAGCAUCUUUUACGUAGAGAUCUAAGGUAUAACAUCAUGAAAUGUAUCUAGCAUUGAAAUUACCGAUCCGCUGUUCUUGGAUGGAGCUGGGGAUCGACAAAUUUGGAGUUUGAUAUUGAAUAACUUCCGAAAGGGUGAACGUUUCUGCUACUCUAAGACAAGUGAGUUGCAAAGUAACUCAUGUGGCUUGGAAACUGAUGAGGUGUGAAAGAAAGCAAACAGUCAUGCCCAAAAAAAACAACUGAAACAACUCUGAAGGAAUUCAAAGUGGUAAUAUGUUCCUUGAUCUAAUGGUGAAUUGCAACUAUUACUGUCUGAGUUCAAGUAGUGACUUUUGGAUUGUCUUUAUGAAGAAAAAGGUUGUCCGCUUUCUUGAACUUAUAAGACAAAAGCUGCACCUAAUUGUUGGUUCGCUGAAGGAAAAUAAGUGAAUAACCUUAUAUUUCUGUAUAGAAUUCCCAAUUUUUAGUUGUCUUUUCAUAUCAGACAAAACCAUGCUGUGAAAUUUGUUUAGUACUGACUCGGUAUUCGUUUAUAACUCAGAGAAGCAAAAUAAGAGGGAGUGGAAGUCAUCUGAUGCAGUUAUUCUACUCCUUUUCAGCCAUACACUCACCGGAGCACUUGGGUUAAACCAUUUUCUUAGAAGGAUACAACAGUAUGCCAAAGUCGAACGAUGCAGACUAGAUUCCCAGAGAAAGAGGAAGCAUGCGUUUCUUAGUGAACUCACAAAGAUUGAUCUAUGUCUCUCAGCAUACAUUGGCAAUCUCUAUUGCAUUGUGACAAAAGAUGACAUAAGAGAUCCUACUUCGCUCCCGUGGGAUUUGCAUUUGACAAUAGAACAGGGAUAUUCCUGGGCUUUUGUGCAUAAAUUUUGAAGACGACGGGUCACCGGAGAAAGCUAUGAAAUAAAACCAGGUACAACUGCAUGGGAGGCCAAUGAGAAUAGCAUAUGCAGUUGGCGAUAGGAACUGAACCUUCAUAGCUGUUCACAAAAGCUCUUCUCAGGCCUGUUCAAAGCUGACAGAUUUUGCAGCACAAAACAGUUAAAUGAUCCAUACUCUAGAUUCCUCCUCCGUGGUGGAAGUCCUUCAAUUUUAAGAUCACAGUCUUGCUCUUGUGGAUGCUAGAUCCAGAUUCUAGCUAUAUUGUUGUGGAUGUAUCACACGGUUCCCUGCUGUGAACUCUUUAAUUUACAUGUUUUCUUGUUUUGUUAAAUAAAUGAUAGAUAUUCCUUAUCUGAUAGGAAC